UACUCAUCGAGACCGGCUGAGGGAUAGGCCCUUAGACGCCGGGGCAACCGCCAGGCCUAACCAACCUGGAAAGGUGCCAACUCCUGCGACGCGCGCCCCGCGAGGGUCGAACGUCUACAGAUGAGCG
rnacentral:ncRNA from 2 species